AGCAGGCCAGCGCGGGGUGCAAAGAAGGCCGUUACCAGGACGGCAGCGCUUUUUGCGUGGGCUCCUUCUUCCCGGGGCCUGUUUUUUU
rnacentral:sRNA from 12 species